GAUCUUCUUGAUCCAACUGUGAACUUCCAUGACAUGAACCUUGAACUUUCGUGGGAUUCCGGCCAUCUCCGGCAUCCGACGGGUUCUGGCGACAUCUGAUUAAUGGUGGUUUCAAAUGACCGGCAUGUCACCAUGGUAGGAGGGUGAGACCGCCUCAUGGUGACGUCCUCUCGCUAGCAUGGUGGCACCCAACUUCUUUUGCUAUUACCAUAGCAGAGGCGAGAUCACAGUUUUCCGACAAACGGUGAGGUGGAUGAAGUCAAACAGAGAGGAGAGGAGGACUGGCAAACCUCAGAUGGUGGAUGCCCUGAUCAUCUUUUAUUAGGGAACGCCAAAGCAAAAAAUCAAAAUUGAAAACAAAGAGCUUAGAUUAGCUCCGGCAGAUGCAGGGGUUAUUUGCGUCCUCCCAGAAAGGGAAAAUAGAGCAUACAAAAAAGAGAAGGACAAGGUGUCAUACAGCAAGGGAACUAGGCAUUCUUUACCUCCUGGCCACGGAAAAGCAGUAAAUUUGACCGAUAGCAGAUUGUGCCCUCAACGGUCCUCUUCCUCCUGAGCAAGACAGAAACCAAAUCUACUCAAUUAAGAAUGUUCAAGUUAGAUAGGUUGCUUUUUAAGAUGUAGAAGGCAAUGAGAUUUGCUAGAGUAGUUGAAGCCCCAAGUGUGAAUGCAUCAUUAUGUGAAGACUUUUAUUGACUAUUCUUGAGGUAAAUGUCUUAUGCUAUUGUAGUAUUAAUUAGUUGCUUGUAUUUGAGUUAUUGCUAGUCUCAUUAGUAUUAACAUGCACUUUAUUUGCAUAUAAAUUUUAGGCAACUGCCCAAUUUCAUUGACUUGUUAUAUUUUCAAAAUUUUGGCCAGCAAUUCAUGAAAGUUUACAAUGUUGUGAAGCAAUGUUGUAAAAGGCGAUAAGGCGAGGUGUUGAGCCUCUCAUGAGGCGUGGCAAGGCGAGGCAUUAAUUGAAGUGUAAGCUUCACAGAAAAAUUUGUGAAUUAUAUAAUAUUUAUAAAAGUAGCAACGAAAUUGAAAAAAAUGACUACGACACUAAGCAUAUCAAGGAAGAACAAUAUACAACAUGUGCAAACCACAAUAAUUUUUAAAUCCAAACAAACACAAUGUUAUAACAUACAUAGUACAAAGAGUGCUUGCAUAAUUGGCGCAUAGCAUGACCUGUCCUAAACACUUAAAUGUCAUAGAACUAUCAUUGAAAAAUAAAUAACCAAAACUAGGAAAACUAAGAUUCAUAUAAUAAUAUCAAUUACGAGAAUAAGUAAAUGAUAAGUAUUGUUGAACAAUAAUAUAAGCAUAUUGAAAUAUGUAUAUGUACAAAAAUUAAAAGAAAGUAAUUAAUUUGUGUAAUUUUCAAGUGCUAUUUAACAAAGUUAAAAUAACUUUUGUAAGCAAUUGGUCAAUUGUAUCUUCAUCAUUGUCAUAUUCUUUAAUGGAUGACAGUUCAUUGUCAUUUGAACCAUCCAAAUAUUGAAUAAGUUCAUCUUCCUCAUCAUCUAAACUCUCAUAUUCUAAAUCUUCUAUUAUUGUUUUACCUUCAUAUAAAAACACUAACACAUAACAAAAUUGAACAAUUAGUAAAGAAAAAGGACAAUGUUCUUAACUUUAUUUCAAAAAUUACAAACAUAUAGCAUUACCUUAGCCAACACUUUUCUUUUGAGAAGAUGAAACACUUUCUGUGUUCAUCUUCAUAUAUACAUGAUGAAAACCAAAGAAUUAAGUUUUGCUUGCUCAAUGAAAUUUCUUGUUUUUGUAUGUACCUAUCACGUAAUUCCAUUAGUUAAUCAUUUUGAUAAUUAUAAAAAAACAUUUGAAUGAUAGCAUAAUAAAUUAUUUGAAAGUUUCAUUUAUUUAGCAAAAAGAAUGAGCUGCAUUUACAUUCACAUCCUGAUGCACUAUAUGUAAGAUUGAGAAUUCUCAUAGCAAAAUUUUUCAAUUCUUUUGUAUUUUCGCCAAAUGUAUUCCACCAAUCAACUGACAAAAAUAAUGAGAAGAGUAGUUUAGAUAACUUCAUUUGAUCCGCUCAUAAGUUCAUAAUAUAAAUCAAAAGUGUAAAACAUUUGCAAAAAAAAACUGACCUAUGGCAGAAUGUACUUGCUUUCUUUCCUCUUUCUUGAUGGCAUUGUUGAUUGUUGGUUGUUGCAUAUCUAAAGUUAUAAAUUGAUCCAUUGGUCCUCAUGAAAUUCCAAAUGCAUGAACAUUGGGAGAUGUAAGGCCACCACUGGUCAUUCAUUCAUCCAAACAUUCAUUUCUAUGCAAUUCAAGAUUGUCUUUUUUUCUUUGUAUUUCACAUUUUUGUACCUGCAAAUAAUUAUUGAAAGAUUUUACAACAAUUUGUGGCUUUGUAACAUGCUUUAGCAACUUUUUUAGUUUCAGCCAAGUGUUGUUUCUUUAUUCAAACACCACCUUUAUAAGUUUCCUUACAACAAUAAUUUCAUAUCAAGUUUCCCAUUUUUUCUUUAUCAUCAUGAUCUUCUUCAAUGCAAUGUUUCAAUGCUGGAUCCCACCGUGACAUUUUUUCUCAAACCUAACAAUGUAUUACAAAUAUACUUCAAUAAGCAUCCAAUAAGUUCAAUUACAUUGUAUGCAAAAGCUCAAAUUACUAAGCAUACCCAAAUAUUAACAAUGCAUAAUGUAACAAAUAUUAACACCAUAGGACAAAUUUGAAUUAACAACAUAUUAGAAACUUAAUGCAAAACAAAUAUUGAAAAAACACAUAAAAAUAUAAAAGAAUUGUCUAGGACAAUGCAUCAAUUACCAUUGUCAUGUUCUUUAACAUGAUGUCAAAUCUAAAUAGAAGAGAAGAAGACAAGCAGCUCUUCCAAAAUGAGAACAUGUUUGAUCUAGAAAUAAAGAAAAAGAAAAAAAAAGAAAAAAAGCAUCCACAAAAAAAAACAUAUAAUAAAAAAGGUAAUUAUAGUAAUGUAAAUUUUCCAUGUUUUUUAUUUAUUUAUAUAAAACAAAAUAAUGUAAAAAAUAUUCUUCCAUUGAUUCGGUAAAGGAUUGAACAUAGCUGUCUACCAUGAAGCACAAAAAAAAAUAACAUGAACUAAGGCAUGAAAAAAAUUUGAAAGAAAAUAUAAUAAGUUAAAGAUGCGUUAAAUGCUAAGUCAUAAAGUAAGAAUACAAAUCCCAAAACAUAUAAUAAACUAAGACACCACUUGCGACACUUGGCAACAAUGGGAGGAGGACCACCAUCAAUGGAGUACAUGUCCAGACUUCAAAUGAUGACAAUAGUAAAAUAAAGAAGAACACGUAAUAUGAGUGCAAGGAUGGCAUGCAUGAAGAAAAUAAGUUCAAGGUCUUGAAUUUGUAAGCCACAUUACCACAACAUCAUAAGCCACAGCAAUGGCCAUGGUGAUACACACAAAGUAACAAAAGCGCCAUGUGGACACACUGUAUACCAUCACAGCAACACGCAGAGGGUGGCUAGUCAUGGCCAGAGAGUUGAUAGAGCAAGAGGGUGGCCAUGGCCAGUGCCGUACAUGGACAGAGAGAUUAAGAUAAAGAUAGAAAGGUGGCCACCUAUGUUCAGUGUCUGCCAUGGAGAGGAAGAGACUCAAAGAGAGAGACUUACAGUUGCAAUUGAAAUUCUGACGUUGGGUGAUGGCUUCACCAACUGUAGCUCCAGCCUCUAGCAAUUUCGCAGGCAUGCAACGAUGGUUGAAAUCUUCAAUUUCACAUGUGAUUUGGGAUUGAGAGAAUGGGAUUUAGGGAUACAAACGGGGUUCAGUUAGGGCUACAUGUGAAGCCCUUUUGACCAGUUUUAUUUAGUUUUUAUUUUUUUUAAUUAAAAAAACUAAACAGACUCCAUCCCUGAGGUGUACGCCUCAAGCACAGAGUGUACCACGGAUGGAGGCAUACACCUCUACCAAAUGAGGCGCAUGCUUCAAGGAUGCGUGCGCCUCACGGCAAGGCCUCAAGGAGUUUUUUUCUAAAAAACGGUAUGAGUCACAUUUUUUUGUGUGAGGCGUAUGCUUCUUACAACAUUGUUGUGAAGUAGAACAAGGCAAAGCGAUGCACUAAGCUGGUGAUGCAACACGUAGCUAAGCGAUGCAUAGUGAAGCUUAAUUAAGUUUCAUGGCAGAAAUACUCUAACAUAUUAUAUCAACAAAAAUCAUGUCAAAAAUUAUGAACAAAAGCAAAAAACAUUUUUUCUUGCGCCAAAAUCAGAAAUGAAAGAUGGCACUGUUUUGCUAUUUGCAAGAAAGUUUAAUUAGUUGUUAUUAACAAUUACACAUAAAAGUUUGUAAAAUAUUUAAUACCUUAUAAGUACUACAGAUGAAAACAAAGAACAUUACUUUGGUUUAUUUAAACAACAUACUCAUGAAAGCAGUACAAUAAAUUCACUAAAUCCAAUAAUUUUCAUCCAACAUUUACUGACUUAAUAAAUUCACUAAACUCUAUGAUUUUCAUCCAACAUUUGCUAACUUACACUAUUUCUGUCAACAUAAAAUGUUCAAUAAAUUCAACACUCACGGUUUUAUUUGAUUCUAACAUGCAGCUGAGAAAAAAAGUAAACAAAAACAAUAUGAAAUAGAAAAUAAAAAAGAUACAAGAAUUAAUUACAAAAGAGAGGGAGAGAGACGGAGAGAUAGGCAGGCACUUGAGGUUCACAUCUCGUGCGUUGAGGUGUGCACUUCAAAUACCACUGGUAAUACGCACUGGUGGUUAUGUUAUAGCAGUGCUACAAUUCACAGUUAUAGGUUUAUAGUGGUGAAAAUUUCUACUGGUGGUACAGAACACCAGUGUAAUCGUGUUUAGCGGCAAAGAAAAACCACAGAUAUAAACGUAUAUGGCGGUGACCUAAACUACCUCACCGUCAUCAGUAGGGCUGUAGCGGUUCGGUUCAUCACCGGUAUAGCUUACUGUCAUUAAAGAAAAGCACAAACAAAAUUUAUAGCCCUCAAGAAAACAUUUAUGACCUCUAGUAAAUAUUUCCAAGCCUUUCAACAAAAAUUAUGUCUCACGUGACAUGUUCCUUCCACAUCCAUGCACUAAGGGGGAACAAAACUCAGCCACGUGAUGCAAUGGUCAACUAUUGACAGAUGACAGUACCAUGCUAAUUAGAGAUUAUGGUGGCGAGGGCAAUCUGUUUUUUUGGUAAGGUUGCAAGAGUUGAAGGUAUAUAGAGGAUGAAGUUGCUCAAAAAAAUCAGAGUGAAGUCAAUUUUGUUUCACUCAACAAGAGAUUUUAUUGUAUAUAUACAAUGACAGCAGGAAGGUUUUCAUACUCUGCCUCGUAUACAGAAUCAUUCGUUCUUUAUAAAGAAUCUCAUCUUAUAAAAGAACCAAAGAAGGACGGUCUAAAAAGUUUAAUGAAUAUGAAUCUAUUUUUAGUAAUGUUUCUCGUAACAAAAAGUGUAGAUGCCUAAGAUAGCCUUAUACAUAGUUCUACUUAUUGUAUUGCAAACACGUUCAUGCUUUGCAACUUUGUACUUUUAGAAGUCCUAGAGAAGUUCCAUGUUGAAGUGUUUUGAAGAUGUUGGUCAUAUUGCUAACUGUGCUUAAUAUAGCAGAUUGACCUAUACAAAUUUAGGAAGAGGUUGCCAACACCCGCUUCUAAACAAAUGAUUAGUGAUCCAACCUAGGAGUUGGGUUUUCUUUCUACUCCAUGUUUUUUCUUUUGACACCCAUGUAAUUGAAUGCAGCAAUGUUAUUUCAAUUCGAAACCAAGCUGAUACCAUUACUAGCAUGAUGAUGUAAUAAAUGACAAUUUGUCAUUGAAAAGGACCCCUGAUGGUAUAUCAGCAUAAGCUGAGAUUCUUCUAAAGAACGAAUAAUGCAGUAUAUGAGGCGGGGUA